UAAUUGGUCAGGAGAAAAGACUCUCAUCAGUCACCAGCAGUUUCAACUUCUUAGCUCUCAAAACUAUCUUAAAGGUAAAGUCACCCCAUGACACAUGGAGAAUUGGGAUUAAGAAUGACACUAUUAUUUUUGGUCUGUGAGACUAAAGUGUUGCUCAUGUUAGUUGAUUUUGGAUUCAGAAAGUACUUAAAGAACAAACAGUAAUUUCCAGGCACCAAUCCUAACAGAUCUAGUUCUUGAGAUUCUAAUCCUCUUUCAUUCAGUGAUUGUGCUAUCAUACCUGCUUGAAAUCCCUUGCCAUUUGGCCUAAUCCCCAACUUUUUGCACAUGUCAAAUUAUUGUACAAUCUCUAGUUAUGUUACACCAGUGAUUCUCCGCACUUGAUUUAUUUGCUCCCAUAUUUGGCUUUCCUCUAACUCCUAUCCAUUUUGCAAAACCAGUGAAGUUACUUACUGAUGUGGGAAAUGGAAAAAUAGAAACCUCCACAGAUGCUGAAGUGUUCAAUCUGCAGCCUUGGAAAGAGCUUGGGUUAAUGUAAUGAUAAAGGUACACAAACAUAAGGUGGAAAAAUUAUAAAUUUGUGUUCCUAAUAUUGUAAGUAGGAAUAUGCCUUGAGUAAGUGAGAAAUUAUAUUAGGUAAAAUUGUGAGAGGUUUGAGUUGUAAUAAUGUGACUUAUAGAGUAGGCUAGGGGUAUAGAAGCUACAAUAGAGGUCAUGGGUACAUGACCUAUCUGUUUAUUGUCUAAAAGAUAGAUGCAGUGCAGCAGAAUUAGCCAAAGAUGAUAGGUUAAUAAGUAGAAACAAGUUUUGUGUUAACAGUCUAUUGGACCAAAAUGUUACAUAUUGUUGUGUGAAGAAGAAACCCGUGACUAUCUUGAGCUAUGGCUGACUUUUUGCUUCUAUCCAAAUCUCACGCCUUCGAGACAAAUAUCUUAUCUGGUUUACUUGAGCAAUAAAUCACCUUAAAUAGCACAGUGGUCCCAUCCCUUGUUUUUCAUCUCGACAAUUGCAAUACCGAUUAAACAUGUGAAAAAAGGAUCUCCUGGCAUGGCUAAAGAUAAACAAAAGGAAUCCACUCCAGUAGCAUUAGCCCAAGUAAGCCACAUCAGAGUAAAACAAUACAUGUAGUGAAAAAGAAAUUGACAGCAAUUAAGAAUUAAUCAAAUAAUAUACACAAUAACACAUGCGGAAUUAUAUAAUUAGUAAGCACUAUAAUAUUAAACUGUUGUGCCAGAGUCUGCAACAACUGAUAAACCUCAGAUCAGUAGAGAAUUGGAAAAUUAUGUCCAGAUAACAAUUAUCCAAGCUCACUUUAAAAGUAGGUUCAGCUAUCAUAUUAACACGGUCAAAUUGCCAUGCCAAAAUUACUUGAAUCUACUUUUGAUGCAGAAAUGUCUGGGUUUGUUGGCAAUUUUCCCAUCCAUGUAGAGCUAGGGCCCAAACCCUAAUUGGUGGAUGUCACUUAACACAUUUUAAAACAAAGCUCUUGAAAAUAGCAGUUAUGAAUAAAACCUUAGGGUUAAAGAUUAAUUAAAGCAUCUAGUAUUUGCAUCCCUCUGAAGUUUUCUUCAAGACAGAGAUGCUUCAAACACAGCAAACCUUCUUCUUCAAAAAUCCAGCAUAAAACUUAGUUUUUAAUAAGUUAAUAUUGCAGCUGGACUCUCUGCUGGAGUGCUUUUAUAAUAAUAACUGAAGGAAGCCACAAAACUACCAGUCUGGAAGAGGUUUUCGAUGAAGCUCUUGGUAUCUUUUCUGGGAACUCCAUUAAAACAAUAGGCUAGAGAAGUAGUCUGGAUAAAAAAAGAACAUGUAAGCAACUAGAGAACAAAAAGGAAAGGAUCCUGAAGAGACACAUGUCUGGUAGGUGAUCACACAAAGAAACGGUAAAGCAUAUAAAACCUGAUUGUAAAUACUAUAACAAUAUAAGUAAUUCUUAUUACAAAAGUCAGUGAAUUCACAUUAAACAAACAAUAUAUCAACAGCAAGUGUUUGAGGAAGAUAAAACAUUUUUUAAAUAUUCAUGUCAUAUUAAUAACAGUCACCAUUUAUCAGUGUUACUUAUAGAAAACAAAAAUAACAGAGGUUAUAAGCUCACUAUUAGUAACCCCUAAACUGAAUCGUUAGGGAAAAGGGAAACAGCUGAUGAUUUUAUGACUAGGAUCUGGUCAAAAUUCCCCAAGUGUUAUGUCUUUGGAGAAAUUUUAGAUGGUUGCCAGUACUAUUAGUUGUAUCUCACACAGUAGUUUUACUCUGUGGGAAACUCUUUUCCCAGUAAAAGAUUUCCAUCUAUGUCAUAAUUAGAUUGGAACUGAUUUGUAUAUUAUCUUCCCUUUUUUCAUCUAAGAUAAUGGUUAGGUUGCUUUAUAUUUUUUUGUGGGCUCUGAGCAAGAUUUGUUUAUAUGUCCAGGCUUCCCACAUUUGAAACAUGUUUUGGUGGCUUCUGUUUGCACUGCAGCAAUGUCUUGUGUGAGGCAAUGUAUGGAUAAAAUGAAUGGCUCAAAUAUCCCUUGUCUUAUUUCUGUAUAUGUGCCCUCUGGGCUUCCUGCUGGUUGGACUUGCAGGAUUGCUUUUUCUGAAUGAGCACUUGAUUUACAGUUCAAAAAGUCUCUGGUAUCUGAAGGAAAUAAAUUUGGCUUUUUCUUUGGAUAUGGUUGAGCUGCAUUCUGUAGAUUUGUUUCUUCUGCUUGUGUUAUGGUACAGAACUUUUUAUCUUACUUUUUCCUUGCAAGAAUGGAAGUGGCCAAAGGAGGCGCUGUAGUGAGAGGUCGGUAAUCUCGAUGGUUACAAAAUGGCGUCUGCAGCAUUGCGCAUGCUCAGCACUGGGGAACGCCAUCUUGUUGAAUGACAACCUCCUGUCAUCGCCAUUUUAUUGUACGGCAUCUUCCUGUCGGGUGCCGCCAUUUUGUUCUAUGGGAGCAUGCUCAGUAGUAGUGCAAGAGCUCUUGACACAGACACCCCUCUCAGGGCAGGGUUCCGGCCCCCCCCUGCGACGUAAUAUUACCAGCGGCUAAAGUUUUUUCUCCCAGGAGCCGCUCUCUCCUGCACUUCGUGUGGAGCCGUUCUCUGCCUCCCACUGACGUGGUCCAACUGUGGCAGUCUCCAGCCAGGCCCCCCACCUUUUCACUCCGCAGGACCUCCCUUCAGAGUUCGAAGAGUCUGGGUCUGCUUCAUAUCAUGGCACUUUUAGCGCAUCGCUAGGGUCACCAACAUGCAGGAGGAGCUUGUAACUUCUGAUCAACCAAUAUGAUUUCACAGAAGCCCCUUAUUGUUUACAUUAUACACUUGUUUAUGGAUUCUAAAACUACUGUUCACGUGAUCACACACUACUUGAUUGGUGCCUCUAUACUGUCCAUGCGGUGAGCACACACUCCUCAGGUUUUGUGAUUUGGUUACAGUCCAAGUGUUCAAUAGCCUUCUGUUAUCUGGUUCCUGUGGUCUUGUUUCCCUGCUUCUCAUCUGCUUCUUUCUUAUUUUAGAACAAUUUAUGUUUCAGCAACCUUGAGGAAUUUCAGAGGGUCUGAUAAGAAAUUGUACAGACUGUUUGGGUGGGGCACACUAUGACCUAAGUUGUUCAGAUACAUUGGUACAACCAAUGCCUGUUUAAAAUUUUUUGUUGCUGUUUCUAACUGGAAAGAUCACUUUUAAAUUAAUCAAAAGAAUUAGGAUUAGAAUCAAAAUAUGUUAGUUUUAAAUGUGUUGGUAAGGAAGUGCAAAACUGAGGGAAGAAAUACAAGCUGUACUCCUGAGAAGGCUGGGGUAAUCUUGUAUGGUCUUGGUGUAAAACUUCUGUCCUGCUGGAAGGAAUCCCCACCUCUCCCCAAGCAAGGAAGAGACUGAAUAUAGCUUUCAUUUUAAAAUCUGGAACAGCUGUCUUCUUUAUCUCUGUUGUAAAUAAGGAAAACAUACUUAGGAAACCACUUAAAAAUACAAGGUAGAAGCUUAAAAUCCAGUAAGAUUAAAAAAAUAUAAUAUACAAAUUAGUUUAUAUCUCUUCCACUUCCUUGCUUCAAGGUCAUCCUAUAGCAUGUUUUCUACAAGGUGUGAGCUGGCCAAAUUUUGCACUAGAUCUUUACAUCCCAGAAAAAUUCCAGGCUGAUUCUGCAUAAAAAACUGCCCCAGGAAAGUUGGAAAUCUUGUUUUAAAGGCUUGAAGGCUUUGGGGAAAGAGGCUAUGCAAGCAAUAAGAUCAGAGUUCUGGAAGUCAAUGCACUUGCAUGGGAUUUCUUUUAUUAUUAGCAGGAGAAAGUAAAUCUGGGCAUGUUAUUUUUUACUAUCAGCUGCAGCAAAGAUGAGUCAGUCACACAGGGCACACAAGUCCCUCCUUAUCUUGCCACUCUGUUCUGCUGGGGGAAUGCUGAGCUCACGAAUAUUUGCACAAUUGAAACUGACCAUCAUGUGCAUGCAGAAUCACCCUGUAUUUGGACUGUUUUCUACUCCCUGCAGCCUGCAGCUGUGCCUUUCCCACAGGGCCUUCAGUUUCUGAGGAGAAGACAAUGGAAGAAGUUGCUAAAGAGCAGUAAAGGUACACAGCACCUGUGGUUGCAGCAUGUGUAAGCAGUGUGGACGCCUCUGGAAAGUUUAAUGCAAAUAUUUGUGGCAAUCAACCAACUGAUUCCUGUGUGAAACCUCAUACUCUUCUUUGAAGACAUAAAAGAAACUGUGCAGUUUGUCCUACUACACACUGGUUAUCACAGCCAGUAUUCAGUGCUGCAAGAGAUUAUUUAUGUUGCUUAGAGAAACGCUUCUGUGAUUAACACCUCUGCUGUAGAAAGUAGCAUCCAGUCAAGCCACUCAGCAUGUCCUAAAUAAAUGUGCCAAGAGAAGCAGUAGACUUAACUAAGCCAUGCCAGAUGAAUUUUGUUGUCUUGAUAUGUACAUUGAUUUCUUACUUUUGGUCCACACUGUUGUACAUAGUUACACCUUUGUAACAUUCCAUGCUAAAAUGUAAGCAAUAGGUUUUAAAAUCAAGUCAAAAUAUUAUUGAAGUACCUGUUAGCAUUUUUAAAUUGGAUUACAGGGAAAAUAACAAUGUGUUUGCUCCUGAUUGGAUUUGUGAUUGUAAGCAUAGGACAUCUGGCUGCACAUGACCUAAUUUUCCUGCUGCAUAAACAUUUCAGGUGCUACCAUUCCUGGCAUAACAACAUCCAGGAGUAAACAUUUUAAGACUCCUGCUUUGGGAAGAAAGCCUGUUCAUAAGUAGUAGCAUUAGGUACUUUAUGGCAUGACAAUCAAAAUAGCACUGGUUGGUGUUGUCAUGUAUCCAAGUGGUGGCUCCUGCCUUGGGUGUGCUGGGCUCUGCUCCUCCCAAAUCUCAUUCAGCUUGCUGUGGUCUUUGUGUUGCUCUCUCUUGGCAGUGGCAUGUAGUGGUAGUGUAACAGCACAAAGGUUUGGUAUAAACCUUCAAACUGGUAUAAAUCACAAGUCUUUAAGGCCAUGGCAAAGCCUGUCUCCAAGAUCUUGCACAAAGAGAGCAAAAUCCCUGUGAAGGGCUAUGCAACAGGCAUUCUUAGGGACUAAGAACUGAAUAGCUAAAUAACCUUGUUUUCUCAGUAUUGGCUUUAUAAAAAAUACAUUUAUUGUGAAUAACAUGUUUAUACGCCACUGUGCUCCCAACCCUCCAUUGUGCUACGUGCACAAGUGUGCAGCUAAGACGAUAUACUGAGACUCCAUUGCAACCAUCACAGAAUGGUAAUGAUUCUAAACCAGAGCCAUAUAAGGUAUAUUAUGUACUACUUAUAUAGAAAGUGCGUUUCAUAAGGUGUGUCUGACUCUUCUCAAGCACAAGUUUGGAAAAUACUGAAAGGAAAAUGACAGCAUUAUGACAUUCCUACCUAUGGCACAAAGCAACACGUGCUUCUUCCCCCAUAAUAAAGCAAAUUAUAACAGUGUUAAAACAAAAAUAUAGCCUUUUGCUCCUGGACCUACUUAGGAAUAACUGGAAUAAUGCAGAGGCAAAAGCAAGCUCCUGAGCAAGAAGACAAACUACAGCCUUCUGCUUUAAAGGAUUAAGCCUCUAUGAUUCAAAGCAAUUUUUGUAGACAAGCUACUGGAAUAAAAAUCUCAAACUGAUACAUUGUUGGAGUCUAUUUAUCUUGUAGAUUAAACACACUAUGAUGAAUCUAUGCACUUAAAUGUUCUGUUUAUUUUCACUAAUUCCUAGUAACAGACGUUGUUUUAACUGCAUCUAACAGUAAGGUUUCUGAAUUUUUUAGCUUUUCUGAAUGGCUCUUCAUCUCUGGAACUGCUCUGGUACACAGCAAAAUAUGUUAGCCCUCUGGAACAGCUGCCUGAAUGACUGAAUCACAAACUGUGGUUUCCAAAGCUUUUCAUCCUUUCAAUUUCAAAAAAAUGUGAGAGUCCCAAAAUAAUCUGUACAUGUGCUUUAUGCUGGAGUUACUCUUUUUUUGCUUUUGUUUUGUUCAGUUUUUUUUAAUUAAAAAAAGGAAACUAGA